UCGAGUUCACCCUUGGAAAAAAAGUUUUAGAAAUUCCCUCACUUAAAAUUCAUUGGUUUAACAAGCAAGAAAUCAAUUUUAAAACGAAUUUUUAUUUUCUGUCAGUUGAGUUGAAUUUAAUAUAUUUGAUUAUUUAAUUCUUAGUUUUCGAUCUUUGAAAUGUCUGAUCACUUUGAUGACAAUCCAGAUCCUGGUCAAAAUCCAAAGAAACCUGAAAAAUCCCCUGAAAGAAAAGACCCUCCUGUUCCUGGUCAAGAUCCUAAUAAACCUGAAAAGCCUCAAGGAAACCCUGAUGAGAAACCAUUGUAAAUAAAAAGUAUGUGAGUAAAUUACCUUUCAUACUCAAAAAAGAAGAAAUUACAAGAACAAAGUUAAGAAGAUGUUAGUUAGUUGUGAAGAAGACAUUCUGUUCAUUUUUAUUAUCAACGUAAUCCACAUAGUUUAAUAAAAAUUUAUUAAUUUUGUUAG
rnacentral:lncRNA from 1 species